rnacentral:rRNA from 1 species
AACGAACGCUGGCGGCAGGCUUAACACAUGCAAGUCGAACGCAUCCUUUUAGGGUGAGUGGCAGACGGGUGAGUAACGCGUGGGAACGUGCCCUUCAGUUCGGGAUAACCCAGGGAAACUUGGGCUAAUACCGGAUACGUGCGAGAGCAGAAAGAUUUAUCGCCGAAGGAUGGGCCCGCGUCGGAUUAGCUAGUUGGUGGGGUAACGGCCUACCAAGGCGACGAUCCGUAGCUGGUCUGAGAGGAUGAUCAGCCACACUGGGACUGAGACACGGCCCAGACUCCUACGGGAGGCAGCAGUGGGGAAUAUUGGACAAUGGGCGCAAGCCUGAUCCAGCCAUGCCGCGUGAGUGACGAAGGUCUUCGGAUUGUAAAGCUCUUUUGGCGGGGACGAUAAUGACGGUACCCGCAGAAUAAGCCCCGGCUAACUUCGUGCCAGCCGCCGCCGUAAAAC